rnacentral:rRNA from 1 species
CCUACGGGCGGCAGCAGUGAGGAAUAUUGGUCAAUGGUCGGGAGACUGAACCAGCCAAGCCGCGUGAGGGAUGAAGGUACAGAGUAUCGUAAACCUCUUUUGUCAGGGAACAAAGGCGGGGACGUGUCCCCGGAUGAGUGUACCUGAAGAAAAAGCAUCGGCUAACUCCGUGCCAGCAGCCGCGGUAAUACGGAGGUUGCGAGCGUUAUCCGGAUUUAUUGGGGGAAAGGGGUUCGCAGGCGGUCUGUAAAGUCAGUGGUAAAAGCCCGGGGCUCACCCCCGGCCCGCCGUUGAAACUGGCAGUCUCGAGUUGGAGAGAAGUAUGCGGAAUGCGCGGUGUAGCGGUGAAAUGCAGAGAUAUCGCGCAGAACUCCAGUGGCGAAAGCGGCUCUCUGGUCUGUAACUGACGCUGAGGUUCGAAAGCGUGGGGAGCAAACAGGAUUAGAUACCCGAGUAGUC